CUGAAGCAUGAACAUUCCAUACCCAGCAGCCCGUGUGACUUUGUUGACAUCUUGUCACUGUCCAGCACGUAGAAGCCCAGAAAGUGAAGGUGGAUGUGAUGUUCCUUCCACACCUGGUGCAGAACCACCUUAAAGAUUUCUACAAAUCCUUCAAGCCUCCUUCGAUCGAGUCCCGGUAUAGGGCCUUACCUUUCCGAGGUGACCGUGACUGUGUCCAGCCAGCUGAAAGUACUCUGUGCAGCCCCAUUCUUCAGGGUAAUCUUCUCUGUGGUCACCUCAAUCCGCAAGUCCAUCAGAGCAUUGACAAUGCCCACUUUGCCAAGAAAUUCAUAUUUAAGCGAUGUCCUAUAUGUGCUCUGGCAAGCCUAUGGAGAAACCCCUUC